rnacentral:tRNA from 1 species
GUGUGGGUGGCCCGAGUUGGGUGUCGGCUCUUAUCGGGAGGCGGGUCGUUGCCGGUCAGGCCGAGCCGUGGUGGUGGAGCCGCGCCCACAGG